rnacentral:rRNA from 1 species
GUGCCAGCAGCCGCGGUAAUACGAAGGGGGCUAGCGUUGCUCGGAAUUACUGGGCGUAAAGGGAGCGUAGGCGGACAUUUAAGUCAGAGGUGAAAUCCCGGAGCUUAACUUCGGAACUGCCUUUGAUACUGGGUGUCUUGAGUGUGAGAGAGGUAUGUGGAACUCCGAGUGUAGAGGUGAAAUUCGUAGAUAUUCGGAAGAACACCAGUGGCGAAGGCGACAUACUGGCUCAUUACUGACGCUGAGGCUCGAAAGCGUGGGGAGCAAACAGGAUUAGAAACCCGUGUAGUCC